CGCAUCAUCUUUGGUGACAAUGACCUCUUCAACUUUUCCUAAGUCGUGAGGUUAAACGUCUUCAAGAUUUAGAUUCAACCCCUCUUCUACAAACACUGCACCAGCAGUAGCAAUAGCCAUAUCUUUAAGCUGGUUCUUCCUAUUAUCCCCAAACUUUAAAAGCUUUAACUGCUACAACCUGAAGACUAACUUUUAGCCUGUUCUAAACCAGUGCACUUAGAGCUUCUCUGUGAGGAGCGGAUGUAGCUGCGGCCCCAAGAUGGCGCCCAGGACUGCUGCCAAGUCUUAUGACUGGCACCUGACUUCCUCAUUCCUUCAAGAUAGCCACGGACCUUGAGCUGCAUUGCGCAGAUGCACCACGACCUAAGAUCGGAUGAUGUGACGAAUGUAGUCCUGAUCCAAUGAACUGUGCCUAUGUGGACUGGGGUGAUGGGGAGUGGACGAGAGGCGAUAAAGGGGGAUGCCUGAGAGAGAUCGGGGCAUUCUUUUUUCCUGGAAAUUGUAAAGUUCCUGAAUAAACUGCCUUGAGAAGGACAUCGGUUUCGUCACUGCUUUUCUGCUGGUCAGAGACAGUAGCGACAAGUGGUGGAUCCCAUAUGGGACGUGACGAGUCCAGAAUUCUCGGCAGUCAGGGUAGCCGGCUGGAAAGCUCCCAGC
rnacentral:lncRNA from 1 species